GACUGUUAGAGGUAAGUGGAAUUCCAGGUGUAGUGGUGAAAUGCGUAGAUAUCUGGAGGAACACCAGUGGCGAAAGCGACUUACUGGGACAGUUCUGACGCUAAGGGACGAAAGCGUGGGGAGCGAACCGGAUUAGAUACCCGGGUAGUCCACGCCGUAAACGAUGAUUGCUAGGUUUUCGGGGCAUCGACCCCUCGUGAGCCGAAGUUAACGCGUUAAGCAAUCCGCCUGAGUAGUACGGCCGCAAGGCUAAAACUCAAAGAAAUUGACGGGGGACCGCACAAGCAGCGGAGCGUGUGGUUUAAUUCGAUGGUAAGCGAAGAACCUUACCAGGGUUUGACAUGUAAGUAGUACUGAACCGAAAGGGGAUGGACCCGCAAGGGAGCUUACACAGGUGUUGCAUGGUUGUCGUCAGCUCGUGCCGUGAGGUGUUGGGUUAAGUCCCGCAACGAGCGCAACCCUCUUUGUUAGUUGCACUCUCUAACGAUACUGCCCUUAAAAGGGAGGAAGGUGGGGAUGACGUCAAAUCAUCAUGGCUCUUACACCCUGGGCUACACACACGCUACAAUGGCAAGUACAGACGGUUGCCAACCCGCGAGGGGGAGCUAAUCCGAUAAAACUUGUCUCAGUUGGGAUUAUAGGCUGAAAUUCGCCUAUAUGAACGUGGAGUUGCUAGUAAACGCAGGUCAGCACACUGCGUUGAAUACGUUCCCGGUCCUUGUACACACCGCCCGUCACGUCAUGGAAGUUUGUAACACUUGAAGUCGUUGCGCUAACCCUUUGGGAGGCAGACGCCGAGAGUGGGACGGAUGAC
rnacentral:rRNA from 1 species